rnacentral:tRNA from 2 species
ACCCCUGUGACGCAAUUGGCAGACGUGUCCGGCUUAAACCCGAUUGUUGCGAGUUCGACUCUCGCCGGGGGUA